CUUUAUACCACACUCUACCUAACCUAACAAGCCCCUGCUCUCCUCCCUGAGCUCAGUUCCUAUCAUCAUUUCUCUGCCUCAUCCUCUCACUCACUCCACUCCCAUUCCCUCCCCUGGUUGCUUGCACACACCAAGCUCUUUGUCACCUUAAGGCUUUUUCAUGUGUCCCAGCCACUCUGGCUGUCUCCUACUUCUUCUUCAGGUCCUGGAUCAAAUGUCACCACUUCAUAGAAUGUGAGCCCCCACAGGAGCCAGGAUUUUGCUGUACUGUUCAUCACUUUAUCCUCAAUGCCUAGCACAGUGCAUGGUGCAUGGUGGGAGCAUAGUGAAUUGCUUAUUCUGAGAAUGAAUGAGAAGCUCUCAACAGCUAUGUGCUAGAUUUUAGGAUACAUGCAUCAAGGCGAGGACGGGGCCCGAGCCAGUUCGCCUGGUUGCGGGGUGCCACGCCGGAGGUGGCAGGAAACACGAGGGGACGGGACACCUGGGAGCGGCUCACCUGGGCGUACCUGAAUGUAGGAGUCGCCGCGCUUCCGCGCGGGCGGGUUGGCCCCGCCCCCCGGCCAAUGGCGGCGCGGAGGUCCACGGCCGUGGGCGAGGAUUGGGCUGGCGGGCGCGGCGGCGGACGCGGAUUGGGCGCGGGCGGGCGGGGGUGG
ensembl:lncRNA